UACGGGCGCGUGAUGAAUCUCAACUUAACAAAUGGGUAAUUUGCGUCUGAAUAACCAUUGAUGCUAUUUCACCUUGGAGACCUGAUGCUCGUA